CGGAACGGGUGAGUAACGCGUGAGGAACCUGCCUCAAAGAGGGGACAACAGUUGGAAACGACUGCUAAUACCGCAUAAGCCCACAGGUCGGCAUCGACCAGAGGGAAAAAGAGCAAUCCGCUUUGAGAUGGCCUCGCGUCCGAUUAGCUAGUUGGUGAGGUAAUAGCCCACCAAGGCGACGAUCGGUAGCCGGACUGAGAGGUUGAACGGCCACAUUGGGACUGAGACACGGCCCAG
rnacentral:rRNA from 1 species